rnacentral:rRNA from 1 species
UGGGAAUAUUGGACAAUGGGCGCAAGCCUGAUCCAGCAAUGCCGCGUGAGUGAUGAAGGCCUUAGGGUUGUAAAGCUCUUUCGCACGCGACGAUGAUGACGGUAGCGUGAGAAGAAGCCCCGGCUAACUUCGUGCCAGCAGCCGCGGUAAUACGAAGGGGGCUAGCGUUGUUCGGAAUUACUGGGCGUAAAGGGCGCGUAGGCGGCCUGUUUAGUCAGAAGUGAAAGCCCCGGGCUCAACCUGGGAAUAGCUUUUGAUACUGGCAGGCUUGAGUUCCGGAGAGGAUGGUGGAAUUCCCAGUGUAGAGGUGAAAUUCGUAGAUAUUGGGAAGAACACCGGUGGCGAAGGCGGCCAUCUGGACGGACACUGACGCUGAGGCGCGAAAGCGUGGGGAGCAAACAGGAUUAGAUACCCUGGUAGUCCACGCCGUAAAACGAUGAAUGCUAGACGUCGGGGUGCAUGCACUUCGGUGUCGCCGCUAACGCAUUAAGCAUUCCGCCUGGGGAGUACGGCCGCAAGGUU